UUGGCUUGCUCUGCCCAGCCAGGGUCUCUGGCGGUCUCGUGGACCCAGGAAAACAAACGCGGAUCCAAAAGGUUCCAGCGCCAAGGUGGACUCACCGUGGUGGGUCGGAGGAUACCUCUGCACCGUAGCCCUGACGGAGUUUCCGUAGUAGGACGGGACGUGGUUGCCUUGACCAUCGAUGUUAAAAAGUGCAAGGGAGAGAAAGAGAGACCUGAAUGAGGUGGAAUGCAUUCUUUCUGAAACUAUCAAGACGGCGCCAGGCAGCUCAGUGUUCGCAGACAGCUGUGGCGCGACGCAACUUAAGGAGGUUCUAGUGUCAUCCGCGCCGAGGGGGAGGAGCCUGGCGCUGGCAGGAGGGGACACGAUCCUCAGCACAAGGAAACUGCAACCCAAACCCGCUCCAGGACUUCACCUCCACCCCCAUCCCAUCCCCCCCACCCACCCCGGCACACCGCCGCCCCUCCUCCCGCCCCUCUACUGACCGGAAAGGGGCGCCGCCAAGGGCCGCCUAGGGCAGAGGGGCCGCGGGCAGGGUGGGCGAGGCCCGCCCGGGC
rnacentral:lncRNA from 1 species